rnacentral:rRNA from 1 species
AGAGUUUGAUCCUGGCUCAGAACGAACGCUGGCGGCGUGGAUAAGACAUGCAAGUCGAGCGAGAUUUUUCGUUGUAGCAAUACGAUGGAAAGUCUAGCGGCGAACGGGUGCUUAACACGUGGGCAACCUGCCAUGAAGUGGGGGAUAGCUCGCCGAAAGGCGAAUUAAUACCGCAUGUGAUUAGAGAGGACAUCCUUUCGAAAUUAAAGUCGGGGCAACCUGACGCUUCUUGUGGGGCCCGCGGCCUACCAGCUAGUUGGUGAGGUAACGGCUCACCAAGGCUUUGACGGGUAGCUGGUCUGAGAGGACGACCAGCCACACUGGGACUGAGACACGGCCCAGACACCUACGGGUGGCAGCAGUCGAGAAUUUUUGACAAUGGGGGAAACCCUGAUCGAGCGACGCCGCGUGGAGGAUGAAGGUCUUCGGAUUGUAAACUCCUGUCAUUGGGGAACAAGGUGCAUACGUUAACUGCGUGUGCAUUGAUAGUACCCGAAGAGGAAGAGACGGCUAACUCUGUGCCAGCAGCCGCGGUAAUACAGAGGUCUCAAGCGUUGUUCGGAUUCAUUGGGCGUAAAGGGUGCGUAGGCGGCGCGGUAAGUCGGGUGUGAAAUCUCGGAGCUUAACUCCGAAACUGCAUUCGAUACUGCCGUGCUUGAGGACUGGAGAGGAGACUGGAAUUUACGGUGUAGCGGUGAAAUGCGUAGAUAUCGUAAGGAAGACCAGUGGCGAAGGCGGGUCUCUGGACAGUUCCUGACGCUGAGGCACGAAGGCCAGGGGAGCAAACGGGAUUAGAUACCCUAGUAGUCC